CUUCUGGACACUUUCAGACAUGCUCCUCUCUCUUGUUUCUCUCUCUCUCUCUGGGUGGUCUUGUUUGCAAAAGACAAUUUGUGUACUGCUCUAAGUCUUGGGUUUUCAUUGCAAUCGAUCAAUAUUUGAUCUUUUGUUGUGUGUGUGAUGCUGUUCACAAUGGAGGAAAGAGACAACAGCGAAGUGAAAGUUGACGUACGCCAGACCUUUUAAAUGGACACAAGAAUAAAGCAAAUAAACUCAUUCAGACAUUUGGACAAGGAGGUCUGCUAUUAUGUUCCACAUGUUUUAAUCUCAUAUGCUGAAAAUGGAGAGAAGAAAGCAGUGCCAGCAAGGCCGUCAAUCAGCACUGCUGCUGCAGCACACCCUCCCACAGCUGCUGAUGACCAGCUUGGACCAGUCCAACCCACUGUAACAUCCAGCUCUCUAAUGAGGCAUGACUGCACACCACGAUGCAUUAAGAGCACUCAGCAGUGGCAGUGAGAUUUAGCUUAUUUGUGCACAACUUACUGAGCACAUGCAUGCAAACAGGAACACACAUUCAUGGAUUAACUUGCAUGAUGCCACAUGAAUAAUACAGAAUUUCUGGCCAGCCGCCACCCCACUGUGUGUGCUGUAAUCUAUUACAUUAUUCUCAAGACCAUAUGCUGUAAUACUGUUUAAGGUGCUUGUGUCUGAUUUUAUCUGCACAAAACCUGGUGGCUGCAGGUUUUCAUCCUAGCCGAGCAGGAGUACAUAUGAUACAGCUCAUCAGUCAUCUGAAACAGGUGUGCUGUUGCUGCUGGGUUGGAAUCAAAACCCACAGCUGCACAUCCACCUCUAGCUUCAAGGAAUACACCCAUGUCUUUUCAGCCUUAUCUAUAUCUACUGCAUCUGUUUCAUAUAUAAAAUAACCACAAACUCUUUCCUUGGGCCUGCAUAAUAUUAUAACCACAAUUAUCAACAUUAGGCUAGGGCAUAAACAGUUUUAUAAAGUUUUGGGACACCUGACUUUUCUCGCCAUAUGUGGUUCUUUGCUAAAUAUUACUACAAAGUGUAUAGGAUGUCUUUGGAUUUGGUAGAAUUAAAUUUUCCCUUUACUUGAACUACAAGACCGAAAUCUGUUGUAGCAAUACAAUACCCCUGUGCACAAAGUGCCAUGAAGAUAUGGGUUACAUGGCUUGGAGUAGAAGAUUGGCCAACUAUAGGGCUCUGACCUCAACUCUACUGAACACAUUUGAGAUGAACUGGUAUGCCAAAAGUACCUCGGGUCUCCUCAUUCUACAUCAGUACCUGAAUUUAGUAAUGCCCUUGUGGCUGAAUGAGCACAAAUUUC